rnacentral:rRNA from 1 species
AUUGAACGCUGGCGGCAUGCUUUACACAUGCAAGUCGAACGGUAACAGGCCUUCGGGUGCUGACGAGUGGCGAACGGGUGAGUAAUGCAUCGGAACGUACCCAGAGGUGGGGGAUAACGCAGCGAAAGCUGUGCUAAUACCGCAUGUGAUCUGAGGAUGAAAGCGGGGGACCGAGCAGCAAUGUUUGGCCUCGCGCCUUUGGAGCGGCCGAUGUCGGAUUAGCUAGUUGGUGGGGUAAAGGCCUACCAAGGCGACGAUCCGUAGCUGGUCUGAGAGGACGACCAGCCACACUGGGACUGAGACACGGCCCAGACUCCUACGGGAGGCAGCAGUGGGGAAUUUUGGACAAUGGGCGCAAGCCUGAUCCAGCAAUGCCGCGUGCGGGAAGAAGGCCUUCGGGUUGUAUACCGCUUUUGGCAGGAACGAAACGGUGUCCGCUAAUACCGGGCGCUAAUGACGGUACCUGCAGAAUAAGCACCGGCUAACUACGUG